rnacentral:rRNA from 1 species
UGUUUAUCAAAAACAUUAUCAUAUGAUCUCACACCUAUAUGACACGCCCUGCCCAAUGAAAAUUGAAUGGCUGCGGUAUCCUGACCGUACUAAGGUAGCAUAAUAAUUUGUCUAAUAAUUAUAGUCUCGAAUGAACGGGUAAACGCGUGCGUGACUGUGUCAGCUAUAAAUUCAAAACUUAUCCUCUAGAUGAAAAGACCUAGAUCCAGAUAAAGGACAAGAAGACCCUACAGAGCUUUAUUUUUCAACCGCGGGAUAACGCGAUGGGAAAUUGGAUGGGGCGUUCCGGGAACCACCAAGCCUCCCGCCCUUAACCGAGCUACCACUCUAAGAAACAACCUCACAACUUGAAUCCAGACAAAGUUACCUUAGGGAUAACAGGCUAAUACUCCUUAAGAGCUCAUAUUCACAGGAGUGUUUGGCACCUCGAUGUUGGCUUAGGGAAAGAACGCAAUGCAGAAGUUGCGACCUCUUAGUUUGUUCAACUAUAAAACCCCUACGUGAUCUGAGUUCAAACCGGGC